GACGAACGCUGGCGGCGUGCCUAAUACAUGCAAGUAGAACGCUGAAGGAGGAGCUUGCUUCUCUGGAUGAGUUGCGAACGGGUGAGUAACGCGUAGGUAACCUGCCUGGUAGCGGGGGAUAACUAUUGGAAACGAUAGCUAAUACCGCAUAAUAGCAGUUGUUGCAUGACAACUGUUUGAAGGGUGCAAUUGCACCACUACCAGAUGGACCUGCGUUGUAUUAGCUAGUUGGUGGGGUAACGGCUCACCAAGGCGACGAUACAUAGCCGACCUGAGAGGGUGAUCGGCCACACUGGGACUGAGACACGGCCCAGACUCCUACGGGAGGCAGCAGUAGGGAAUCUUCGGCAAUGGACGGAAGUCUGACCGAGCAACGCCGCGUGAGUGAAGAAGGUUUUCGGAUCGUAAAGCUCUGUUGUAAGAGAAGAACGAGUGUGAGAGUGGAAAGUUCACACUGUGACGGUAUCUUACCAGAAAGGGACGGCUAACUACGUG
rnacentral:rRNA from 1 species